AUGCCAGCAAAUUUGGAAAACUCAGCAGUGGCCAAAGGCCUGGAAAAGUCAGUUUUCAUUUCAAUCCCAAAGAAAGGCAAUGCCAAAAAAUGCUCAAACUAUCGCACAAUUGCAUUCAUCUCACACGCUAGUAAAGUAGUGCUCAAAAUUCUCCAGGCCAGGCUUCAGCAAUACUUGAACUGUGAAAUUCCAGAUAUUCAAGCUGGUUUUAGAAAAGGCAGAGGAAUCAGAGAUCAAAUUGUCAACAUCUGCUGGAUCAUCAAAAAAGCAAGAGAGUUCCAGAAAAACAUCUAUUUCUGCUUUAUUGACUAUGCCAAAGCCUUUGACUGUGUGGAUCACAAGAAACUGGAAAUUCUGAAAGAGAUGGGAAUACCGGAGUACCUGACCUGCAUCUUGAGAAACCUAUACGCAGGUCAGGAAGCAACAGUUAGAACUGGACAUGGAACAACAGACUGGUUCCAAAUAGGAAAAGGAGUAUGUCAAGGCUGUAUAUUGUCCCCCUGCUUAUUUAACUUCUAUGCAGAGUACAUCAUGAGAAACACUGGACUGGAAGAAUCACAAGCUAGAAUCAAGAUUGCCAGGAGAAAUAUCAAUAACCUCAGAUAUGCAGAUGACACCACCCUUAUGGCAGAAAGUGAAGAGGAACAAAAAAUCCUCUUGAUGAAAGUGAAAGAGGACAGUGAAAAAGUUGGCUUAAAGCUCAACAUUCAGAAAAUGAAGAUCAUGGCAUGUGGUCCCACCACUUCAUGGGAAGUAGAUGAGGAAACAGUGGAAACAGUGUCAGACUUUAUUUUUUGGGGCUCCAAAAUCACUGCAGAUGGUGACUGCAGCCAUGAAAUUAAAAGACACUUACUCCUUGGAAGAAAAGUAAUGACCAACUUAGAUAGCAUGUUGAAAAGCAGAGACAUUACUUUGGCAAGAAAGGUCCAUCUAGUCAAGGCUGUGGUUUUUCCAGUAGUCAUGUAUGGAUGUGAGAGUUGGACUGUGAAGAAAGCUGAGCACCGAAGAAUUAAUGCUUUUGAACUGUGGUAUUGGAGAAGACUCUUGAGAGUCCCCUUGGACUGCAAGGAGAUCCAAACAGUCCAUUUUGAACGAGAUCAGCCCUGA
rnacentral:lncRNA from 1 species